CACCCCUCUUGGUGUCUUCUGGUGAGCUCAGCUGAAGGGAACCUGCCAUGUAUUUGAAGACCUUUACCGUAUUUCUGCAUCACUGCCUCUGAACAGACUCAAGUGCUCCAGCUGAGGUCUCAUCCAUGCUGAACACAGCCUUGUAGAAGACGAUGGAAGUUCAGUCAGACCCCUGGUUGCUGUUGCUGGGAUACAGUCAGCAGUGGUAGGACACAGUAUGAGAAGAAAAGAAGUCUGGGGUUUUUUUCAGUUAAUGUACCAGCAUAGAAGAGCCCUGCUUUUCAUCAUAUCCUCGUCAUGUUCGUGUUCAAAUGGUUACGGAUCUGCAUGAAGCAGUAAAGUUGCCUAUAAUUUAAUAGGCUGAAAUUAACAGAAGAAUAAAAGAUUGAAAAAAACAAGAAAAUGUGCAUAUAUAAAAAGUCCCUUGGAAAUGGAUAUGAUUUCAUCCAUCCACAGCUGAGACAGAGUUAAUGCUGCCCCUGCACAGGAAGAGGCAAGAGGAUAUAUCAGCCUCAAAAGGAAACAUGGAAACCGAACUCAAAAGGAAACUAGUCCAAAUGGAGAUGUGUGAAGUUGGGUGCAAUGAUUCCUUACUCAGUCUUCGUUAAGAAUUGCUCUCUCAGGUGGCCCUUAAUGACAGGGAUAGUACAUGCAACCAGUUAAGACUAAAUGUUUAAAGCCUGGUUAAGACCCAGUGAGACAUCUGAAGUCUUGAACAAAUACUGAACUACAGUCCUUAUUUUUCCUUUUUGCCUCAGAUAUGUCUGCUUCGGAAAAAUGAGAUGCCAACUUACAGACACUGCUGAAAUGUUUUGAGAAACAUGAACAAUACAAGUUACAAGGUCUUAUAAUUAUUUAUUUCACCUAUGGAUGUCACAACAAUUGUCUCCCCUGAGGACUGCAGGUACAGACAGUAGACUAGACAGGAAAGGAAGGGAAGAAGAAAGGAGGUUGGAGGUGCUUUGGCAAUGAGGUCCCUAUUUAGGGUGCUGUGGGAAGAUGAUGCUUGUCAAGCCUUGGCACAAGCAGAGUUUACUCUCAUAUUCAGCUGUUGCUCACUCAGGAAACUUUAGAAGGCCAGGACAAAGGUGAAGCAAGGUGAUGAUUGUACUGUCUCCAUGGGGUUGGCUCCCUCAGAGCCCCAGGGCAGCACUCCACCAGUUAUAGCUCAGACACAGAAAAUAGUUAAGAAGUUUGUGUUCAACUGUCCACAACAUAAAAUCCCCUCCUUCUUGCUCCUGAGCAUAUAGAAAUAUGCAUUCAUAUUGCUUUCUUUAACAUAUGCACAGAACAAAAUCACUUUCCAACCUGUAGUGCUCUUCCUACAGCUUCAUCUCCAUAUUUUCUAUUAGCUGGAUGAAAGCUCUUCAAACUCACUGAAAGAAAUUUGUUCCUUAUUUUCAUACAUUUGUUUACACCAGAGAUGCGUCUAGAAUUCCUUACCUUUGCCACAGAAAAGACAUUAAGAAGAACAAAAUCAUUUUGUUCAAAUAAAAAGGAAUACAGGGAAAAUACUCAUUGCUGGAAUAUGCACAGAAGGUCAUUACUGGCAUUACAACAACAACUUUUAAAGUCUCAUAAUUAGUUUUUAAUUGCACAAACACAGAAGGCAAUUCCAUCUUUUACUGCAUAGUUUAUGACCAGAAACCAUUUGCCAAACAGACAUCAUAACAGCAAAAACUUGCACUCGCUUCAAAAUUGAUAGUUACAAUAUGUACCCUGCUGGUUAUACCAGCUACCCACACAUGAUCUGGAGGAAAGCUAUUUGACCAAAAUUAGCAAGUGUUAUAGAACACGCUGGUAAAAUAAACCCUCUUAGCCCAAUAUUUCUUCAAGUAAGUUCAGUGAAGAAAGUAAGAACUGAAUAAGGAGACAGACUUAAUUAAGUUGAGGCUAAAAAUAUCCAGACUGGGAGCUUCCCUUUGAAAAUAUGAUUUUUGGGAUUUAAACUUUCCUUCUUAAUUCUCUAGCAGAAAAUUUCAGAUUUAUAAUUUUUCUUUCCAGGUUGGAAUGAAAAGUCAAAAAUGUUAGCUUUUUUCAGUAAUGGAAAGCACCUGAGGAGGUCAUAGGAUAGAAAUAAUUGGGAGCAUCUUCUCAGACCUUGAUUUUAGAGCUACUGGAUAAUUCUCAGGCCCUUCUUGAUGAUGAAUAAAUUGGAAACAGAAAAACAAAGAAAUGGGAAGGGGCUUAAGGAGAAAGCCAAGGAGAGUGAGAGAUAUCUAUAGCAGAGGCAAAAUGGAAAUCAGUCACCUACAUACUGGUGCAUACCAAAACAUGUUACUGAAGAUGAAAAGACUUGGGGGGACCUUACCCUUGAGGGCCUCAGAUCUUUACUGGCUGAUACUCUACUGUCAGCAUCUGUUUCAGCAGAGUGGGGAAAUAUUACUACUAGGAAGAGAAAGAAGUAGUAUCAGAUAUCUCUGUAGAUACAAAGAUAUAAAACAGAAGUCCAAAACAGAAAUCUGCUUUCAGAAGACACUCUCUCAAAGGGCCAAUAGACAUAAAACUCCAACCAGGCUUUGCUCUGCCUGGGACUGCCAAGACAAAGGUCACGAAUUAUUAGGUCAAAAAGAUCAAUGAGAUACUUCGACAUGACUGUCAAACCCUGUAGGUUGAAAUAAACCAGGAUCCCCUGGGGCAGAGGAUUUAUAAUCACUGAGAAGUACUGGAAAUUCACAUAGGCCAAGCAUUCUUAGGAUGAACUACUACUUUGUUGGGAUUCAUGUGAUCAAAGAUAGAGAAGAGUAUGUCAGAGACUCCCAUCUGGCUUACCUCAACAGUGAUGACAAUUUGGCAUAUCAGGGUGUCCACUAUCAUAGAAUCAUAGAAUAUGGAAUCACGGAAUCAUGGAAUGUCUUGGGUUGGAAGUGACCUUAAAAACCACUCACUUCCACCCUAUCUGCCAUUGGCAAGGCAGCCCUCCAACAGAACAGGCUUCACAGGGCCCCAUCCAAUCUGGCCUUGACUGCCUCCAG